GCAACAGUAUUUCGAGGUCAGUACGAUAGGAACACUUUGACCAGAUAAGUGGUGUUCGCAAUUGUGUGAUGUCGCAGUGUUGCUAAGCCAUCAUCUGUGGAAGAAUGACUGAAAGCCUCUAAGUCAAAAUUCGAUCUGGUUUGCGAAUUAACUGCGGCCUUUGAUCCAACUAACACAUACAAAA
rnacentral:rRNA from 1 species